rnacentral:rRNA from 1 species
AUGGAGCUGGAGCUCGGGCUGGCGCCGCCGACCAACGCCGGCCGCCCCCCACUCGGCAGCGGGAAGAGGGGCUUCGGCGAGGCGUUCGGGGAGGACGAGGAGCAGCGCAGGACGUCGACCACGACGCUGCCGCUCUUCGACGACGGCAGCAGUAGCAGCAGCUGCGACAGCGGCAGCGGCGGCGGCGUUGGGGGGAGCAAGAAGGCGCUGGUGGGGUGGCCGCCGGUGAGCUCCGCGCGCAGCAGGGCGUGCGGCAGGCACGUGAAGGUGUGGAAGGAGGGCGCGGCCAUCGGGCGGAAGGUGUACCUGCCCUUCCACGGCUCCUACGCCGACCUCCUCGCCACGCUCGCCCGCAUGUUCCCCGACCCCGCCGGCGACAGGGCGGGUUGCCUCGGUGGUGCUGCCGGCAAGGGCGAGGGCGAGAUGGUGGUCACGUACGAGGACGCCGACGGCGACUGGAUGCUGGUCGGCGACGUGCCGUGGGAGGAUUUCGCGCGGUCGGUGAAACGCCUCAAGAUUUUGCUCUGA